UACGUAGGGUCCGAGCGUUAAUCGGAAUUACUGGGCGUAAAGCGUGCGCAGGCGGUUUUUGUAAGCCAGAUGUGAAAAUCCCCCGGGCUUAACCUGGGAACUGCAUUUGGGACUGCAAGGCUCGAGUACGGCAGAGGGAGGUGGAAUUCCACGUGUAGCAGUGAAAUGCGUAGAGAUGUGGAGGAACACCGAUGGCGAAGGCAGCCUCCUGGGCCAGUACUGACGCUCAUGCACGAAAGCGUGGGGAGCAAACAGG
rnacentral:rRNA from 1 species